UUGAGCCCAAUAUCUAGCCCAACCUUCAGAAACCUAAAGUCGUGUGAGGGUCUUUCAUUUUUUCAAGAGCAGCCGCAUAGUCAUUCAUCUUCCUCCCUUCCAUUUUGAGCAAAAUAACUAAGCUCCACCAUCCAUGGACAGAAGUUGCCCCGCUAUUUUAAUGCUAUGGCUUUGUCAUCUACUUUGUUUUGCUCGUCUCAGCCACGUGAAGGUUGUCAAGACCAUCCAAAAUCCCUCAACGUUCGGAUUUCAAAAUCCCGCCCAAAGACAUUGUUAAAAAACCUAGCCUCACUCUAUAAAUACUUCUCUUUAGAGUCCAAUAGAAGGGGGGUCGCCUCUUCAUAUCUUGAGAAAUAAUAUUGAUAGUUCUUCACUCUCAUCAUUGUUAGUAUCUCUCAAAAAGCUCUAAAACAUUGUUUCUAAAAAUCUCUUUCUCUUUCGAUAGAAUUUUAACCGCAAUGGAGGUAUCCUAAUUUUUUCCGAAUCAAGUUUCGAAUCUGUUUCUUAACUAGAGAGUGGAUUCGAGGUCCGACGACCUAUUUCACUGCACUCAAAACAGGUAUGGAUUUUACAUUGGAGUACAUCUGUGAUCAACAAUUGACGAGAACCAAGUACAUCACAAAAUGGAGCUAGAAAUUUAGACAAAGGAAAUUGUAUUUACUUUACUUAGAUUAGGAAACACUUUAUGUCGUCUUCAUUUGAUAUGUAAUAAAUAUUACAUUGCUUUCGUACUUUAUUUUGGGAAAUAGAAUUUGUUUAAUUAGCCAAAAGCAAUGGGAUGAGGUAUUAUGGCACAUUUUUACCCUUCAAACAAACGUUAGGCCUACCUCUGGCACAAAGAGGUCACAUGCAUAUUAGGAUGCGGUAUUGUUAUUUGAUAUACUUGUUUACAUUUUUUCUUGACAACUUAUUUGCCUGUAUUCGAUGAAUUAUUUGCUACAUAUUUGACUCUUGCAUUUUAAUAUGAGACUAAUGCCAUUUGCAUUUUAUGUUUCUUCUUUUUUAUUCCCGAAAGAGUUGAUUCGUGUUGACAUUUGAACUGGCCGACCAUCCUUACUUCACAAGAUCAAAGACGUCAGCAUUACCUCGACGUAGUUGGGCUAUCCAAGGAAGGAAAACUACUAUGUCUAAUCCAGCAGCAUUUAUUUCAACUGGUUUGGAAAACAUCAUGAUCUCAUUGGGCUGUUUUGGAAGUAAUUUAAGGAUGAAUUUAAUUCUAGUUUGAUAUGAAAUUAUUGGUAUUGUUGUUGUUGGUAUUUUGAUUGAUGUUUGGCUAAAUUGGAAUUUCGAGGAUUAUUAAGUUUGCAGGGGAAAUGCUGCCCGAAUUUUGUUAAGUUUCAUUCGUACUUGGAUUGGUUAGUAAGUGAUGUGGAUAAUCUAACUGUGGCCUAUGUUAUCUUAAUUUUAGACCUACGAGCUCGAGAAGUAGACGUUGGACAUUUAGAUAGAGUUCAAGGUACAGAUACUUGGUUUGGUAACCCUCCAGUCUAAGACUUCUGCUCAGCUGUUUGGAGAGCUCUAUUGUCCGGAGCCUAAGUCAUUGUGAUACAGAUCUUUUGGUAUGGGCUUAUGUAUAUCCAGGGGUACGGCGGGGCCCUGUCCCGUCAUAUUUCACUAUGAUACUCUUAGAGGUCUGUAGACAUAUGUGGGUUGUACAUGGGUUAUGGUCAGCUGUGUCAAUACGGUUUGCUAUGGAUAUUCCCGCUUGUUAUGGCAGCCUUGUUGGCUUGCGUAUGACAUUGAUAUGUUAUGGCAGCCUUGUCGGCUUGCGUAUGGUAUUGAUAUGUUAUGGCAGCCUUGUCAGCUUGCGUAUGGUAUUGAUAUGUUGUGGCAGCCUUGUCGGCUUGUGUAUGAUAUUACAUGUAGUGGCAGCCUUGCCGGCUUGCGUAUCCUAUUAUGUUUUGAUUAGCUGUGACUCCUCGGGAGACAGGUUAUCGAGAUACAUAUAUAU